AUCCUCCUGGACCGUGGAUCGAAUUCGUGUUUGCUGCAUUGGCAGAUAGUGAGGGAACGUGCCCUUGCUGGCUGGCCAGAGGAUUGGAGACAACACUGCAGUGCAGUACUUUGAACCACCUUGACCUUCUGACCACCUGACAUCCCAAAGACCUGCAGGCUGUUCCUUUCGACUGGUGGUUUGCACCCGCAGCAGUCCUGUUUCCAGGGGAGAUUCGCUGUUGCAACAGGUGGGAUGCAGAAUCAGAUGUGAGAAUCCAGCUGUCUUCUGUUCACUGGACAUGGAAGAGAUGCAAAACUGGAAAACAAUGUCUCUCUUUUUAUGGAAUAUUUUUGUUUUGGAAAA